CGGGUAGAUUUAUGUGCGGAAAUAGUCUGUGAUGUAAGACGUGCUACAUGGAGUUGACGAUCGUACCGCCCUCUUUUUAAUUCAGUUAUAGCGUACCUGAGCUCCACCUGCAAUUGCCUUAUCUCAGGUAUCAUCAGCAACUAUCCUGAACAUAUCCUCAACUCCUUACCCAUCAACAAGACAAUGAGUGUUGGCUGGAGAUAUGCUUCUGUUGACAGAGUUGGCACUUUUCUCUCUCGCUUCGUCAUCUUUCAGCACAGUCACCAACUGCUUCCUCAUAAGUCUCCAGCGUCGCGACUCCGGCUUGCCUCCCAGCCAGUAAUUCCGUGUUACCAUUCCAUGGCCGAAUCACUCCCUCCGGAAGAUGAAAGAAUUUACUACCCCGAGGUAGAUGUGGAGGAUUUGGAAGGAUACAGGCCC
rnacentral:sRNA from 1 species